rnacentral:tRNA from 1 species
GGGCAGUUUCCAGAGUGGCCAAAUGGGGCUGACUGUAACUCAGCUGGUAACACCUUCGGAGGUUCGAAUCCUUCACUGCCCACAA